CAACUCCAAGACCAAGUCAGUAGCACUGCAGGUGUCUGGUGGUCAGAUACUUAAGUACCUUUGGGAAUCACCCUCUCUGGCUGUUGAACCAUAGAAGAAACCUGGUGGAUUUCCUGUUCGAUUUCCUUAUCCGUGCACCCAGACCAAAUUGGCCAUGAUUGGAGAAUAGGAAUGUGUCCUUGGUCUGACUGACAGAUGUCGCUUUUUCAUCAAUGACACUGAGGUAACAAGGCUUCUUCGGACACUGGAUCUUUCUCAGUCUUAGCUCCAAAUAAUAUAGCUGACUCUCCCCUUUACUCCCUGACCUUUAGUAGGUUGCUUCAAAUAUCACAUCAUUUGCAGUAUAUGAUGAGUUUAUAUUUUUAUCGACUCAUUCCCAUACAUGCCAGUGUUUUUG